UAUUAAAAUUUUUAUUUUUUUAUAUGGUUAAAACUAGUGUAGUAGAUAAAAUAACCAAACAAUAAUGCUUGGCAUGCCACGUUGUACCUCAUAUUAAUGUAUAAGACCCGAUUUUUAAUAGUAAAAAUGAAUAAAAUUUUUAAUA
rfam:Gossypium arboreum cultivar AKA8401 contig_18050_1, whole genome shotgun sequence.